UUGACCUCGGAUCAGGU
rnacentral:rRNA from 79 species